ACGCUGGCGGCAGGCCUAACACAUGCAAGUCGAGCGGCAGCGGGAAGUAGCUUGCUACUUUGCCGGCGAGCGGCGGACGGGUGAGUAAUGUCUGGGAAACUGCCUGAUGGAGGGGGAUAACUACUGGAAACGGUAGCUAAUACCGCAUGACGUCGCAAGACCAAAGUGGGGGACCUUCGGGCCUCACGCCAUCGGAUGUGCCCAGAUGGGAUUAGCUAGUAGGUGAGGUAAUGGCUCACCUAGGCGACGAUCCCUAGCUGGUCUGAGAGGAUGACCAGCCUCACUGGAACUGAGACACGGUCCAGACUCCUACGGGAGGCAGCAGUGGGGAAUAUUGCACAAUGGGCGCAAGCCUGAUGCAGCCAUGCCGCGUGUGUGAAGAAGGCCUUAGGGUUGUAAAGCACUUUCAGCGAGGAGGAAGGCGUUGUAGUUAAUAGCUGCAACGAUUGACGUUACUCGCAGAAGAAGCACCGGCUAACUCCGUGCCAGCAGCCGCGGUAAUACGGAGGGUGCAAGCGUUAAUCGGAAUUACUGGGCGUAAAGCGCACGCAGGCGGUUUGUUAAGUCAGAUGUGAAAUCCCCGAGCUUAACUUGGGAACUGCAUUUGAAACUGGCAAGCUAGAGUCUUGUAGAGGGGGGUAGAAUUCCAGGUGUAGCGGUGAAAUGCGUAGAGAUCUGGAGGAAUACCGGUGGCGAAGGCGGCCCCCUGGACAAAGACUGACGCUCAGGUGCGAAAGCGUGGGGAGCAAAC
rnacentral:rRNA from 1 species